GACGGAGGAUGCAAGCGUUAUCCGGAAUGAUUGGGCGUAAAGCGUCCGCAGGCGGUUGAUCAAGUCUGUCGUUAAAGAGUGGGGCUUAACUCCAUAAGAGCGAUGGAAACUGAUGAACUAGAGGAUGGUAGGGGUAGAGGGAAUUCCCAGUGUAGCGGUGAAAUGCGUAGAUAUUGGGAAGAACACCAGUGGCGAAAGCGCUCUACUGGGCCAUCACUGACGCUGAGGGACGAAAGCUAGGGGAGCGAAAGGGAUUAGAUACCCCCGUAGUCC
rnacentral:rRNA from 1 species